UACCAGCACCCCGAGUGGUCGGGACGUUUAUUGGGCCUAAAGCAUCCGUAGCCGGUUCUACAAGUCUUCCGUUAAAUCCACCUACUUAACAGAUGGGCUGCGGAAGAUACUAUAGAGCUAGGAGGCGGGGGAGGCAAGCGGUACUCGAUGGGUAGGGGUAAAAUCCGUUGAUCCAUUGAAGACCACCAGUGGCGAAGGCGGCUUGCCAGAACGCGCUCGACGGUGAGGGAUGAAAGCUGGGGGAGCAAACCGG
rnacentral:rRNA from 1 species